rnacentral:rRNA from 1 species
CCUACGGGUGGCAGCAGUGAGGAAUAUUGGUCAAUGGGCGGAAGCCUGAACCAGCCAAGCCGCGUGAGGGAAGAAGGUCCAGCGUAUCGUAAACCUCUUUUGUCAGGGAACAAAGGCGGGGACUCGUCCCCGCCUGAAGGUACCUUACGAAAAAGCAUCGGCUAACUCCGUGCCAGCAGCCGCGGUAAUACGGAGGAUGCGAGCGUUAUCCGGAUUUAUUGGGUUUAAAGGGUGCGCAGGCGGCCUGUUAAGUCAGCGGUAAAAGGUCGGGGCUCAACCCCGGCGAGCCGUUGAAACUGGGGGGCUGGAGUGGGCGAGAAGUAGGCGGAAUGCGUGGUGUAGCGGUGAAAUGCUUAGAUAUCGCGCAGAACCCCGAUUGCGAAGGCAGCGUACCGGCUCCAUACUGACGCUGAGGCACGAAAGCGUGGGGAUCGAACAGGAUUAGAUACCCCAGUAGUC